AACCAAGUCUCUAAGCAAUGGAUGUCUUGGCUCCUCACACGAUGAAGAACGUGGCAUAAUGUGUUAAGUAACCGGAGUUGCAAACAUCAUGACAGGUUAAUCUUUGAAUGCAAAUUGCGCUAAACUCGAUCUCGGUCGAGAAGCAUGGGUGUGACAGUACUACAUCUUUUAUAAUAAUUCUUAUUCUAAGCGAAUAAGUAAAUAAUAUAUAAGACAAACAACACGUAGUCUGCCAUACGCAGGAAGACCCGCUGAACUGAAAGCAUCUCAUUAAGCGGAGGAAAAGAAACUAACUAGGAUUCCCUUAGUAAAGGCGAUCGAAAAGGGAACAGCCCAACGUCUU
rnacentral:ncRNA from 1 species